CUGGGUAAACAAUUUCUUGCUUGUGCACAAAUUCCAUCCAACCCAUACCAUCAAGAUAUGCAACUACAUUGUCAAAUAAACCAAGAGAUUGUAGAGAAUCGGCAGAAAUAUACCUAGUGGGUUGUACCCUCCUAUCCUUGAGUCUCUUAAAAGCUGCCUUUUGAAUUGUAUCAGGAAGAGGCCAAGGUAGCUUUGAUACCUGUGAAGCUACUGAAAUUGUCUUUUUGCUGGAAGAGGGUGUGGAGGCUGGAGCUUUUGGCUUUUUGGGUGGUGGUUCCGACAAUGGGGUAGGUGGUUCUUUGCGUUUGGAUAGAGGAGGGGCAGAGGACAUGGGUUGCACAGAUUUCGACCGGAUUUUUCGUUUGUACGUGGUUGUGGGAGGUGGUGGGGGUGUCGCUUGUGGAGGGGAAUCGGGAUUGGGAGGUAUCGUUGACAAUGGUGAAACCUGGAGAGGGGAAACUGGACGGGAAUGGGGAGGCGACUCCAUGGGAUCCCGAUAGUGAGAAUGGAGGAGGUGAGGGAAAAGAAGAAAAUUGAAGAAGAAGGAGAAUUAGGGCAAAUGUAGUGAGAAUCGAAAUGGAGAAGAAGGUGUGAGGAGGAAUUAUGCGGGAAUGAGGAUUGUGAGAGGGGAACAGUGAACAGGGAUAUCGGGGGGUGAAGGUGGGAAAGAAAAAAAAAAAAAUUUUGCCGAAAAGAAAAGUUUGAUUUAAACGGGUUUUGUAAAAUCUGCAUAAGGGGAAAGUGAAUGUGCAUAGCUUAUGCAAGUUUCGCCUUGUUUUGAAGUUCAGAAAAAUAUGUCAUGCGGAAGUGCAUAAGCUAU
rnacentral:misc_RNA from 1 species